AGCUAACCUGCACUGUCCUAAACUGGUCUGCCUUUUCUCUUUUGACACCACUGGGAGAGAACAUUCCUUGACAUGGGCUGAAAGGCAGCUGAGUCACCCUUACACGUCCCACAACCUAUCUUCCAGGACAGCCUGUCAGACGGACCUAGGGUUAAGAAAAGAGAGACAAAUAGGAAGAAGAAAAAGUGCACAGCCGUGCUCAGGCAGCUUCAAGGGGGAGCUGGACCCCGACUGCUCGCAGGGCAGGUGCGCGCUCCUUCACUUCUCCCCCAAAGCCAGGCCUGUUUUCUGCGCCUUCGGGGCAGACACGUGAGUGAUUUAUUGCUCCUAAAGUCUCUUGGUUUGUAAUAAAGUUUUCAGCAGCCCUUUUUAGCUGCUGCAACCUCUGCCCCUGCAAACACACACACUCUCCCCUCUCUCUCUCUCACACACAUUCUAACUUCACUUUGUUCUUUUUUCACAUAAUGUCAACUCAUAAAGCUUUCACCAAGUCAACCAGGUGGAAAAAUCCCUUUGCUGAAAGAAGCAUUCACUCAGGUCUGGGUGGUGGAGAGGACCGCUGGACAGGACAGAGCUGGAAGAGAGGAGAAAACGUGCUGCAGGAUCCCAAGGAAAGCCCUACUGUCCCUUCAAGAUUUCCAGGGCUCCUGCGAAGCAGCUGGACGGUAGCGUCAUCCUUCCGGAGAUGGCAUGAAGACCCGUCUCUGAACUCUAAUCUUUUUCCGUCUGUUUUCAG